GAAAAACCUCUACUGAUGAUGCCUGUUGAAGCUGGAAGGUCAAGUUUGGAGAACGUCUUUUGGAGUCAGAUGGAAAACUGGACGGGAUUCAGGGCACAAGGGCAGUUGCAGGUCAUGGAACAGAGGGAGCCGACAGACCAGCGAGAGACUGAGAGGAGUGUGAGCGCCGCAGGGUCAGAGGCCGUAAAUGAAGGUUCACACUGACUAAGGAACACUGAC